GACGAACGCUGGCGGCGUGCUUAACACAUGCAAGUCGAGCGGUAAGGCCCUUUCGGGGGUACACGAGCGGCGAACGGGUGAGUAACACGUGGGUGACCUGCCCUCAGCUCUGGGAUAAGCCUGGGAAACUGGGUCUAAUACUGGAUAUGACUCCACGGUGCAUGUCGUGGGGUGGAAAGCCUUGUGCGGCUGAGGAUGGGCCCGCGGCCUAUCAGCUUGUUGGUGGGGUGANGGCCUACCAAGGCGACGACGGGUAGCCGGCCUGAGAGGGCGACCGGCCACACUGGGACUGAGACACGGCCCAGACUCCUACGGGAGGCAGCAGGUGGGGAAUCUUGCGCAAGUGGGACGAAAGCCUGACGCAGCGACGCCGCGUGAGGGAU
rnacentral:rRNA from 1 species